AACCAGACUCCUACGGGAGGCAGCAGUGGGGAAUAUUGGACAAUGGGGGGAACCCUGAUCCAGCGACGCCGCGUGAGUGAAGAAGUAUUUCGGUAUGUAAAGCUCUAUCAGCAGGGAAGAAGGAGGACGGUACCUGACUAAGAAGCCCCGGCUAACUACGUGCCAGCAGCCGCGGGAAUACGUAGGGGGCAAGCGUUAUCCGGAUUUACUGGGUGUAAAGGGGGCGCAGACGGCAGCGCAAGCCAGGAGUGAAAGCCCGGGGCCCAACCCCGGGACUGCUCUUGGAACUGCGCGGCUGGAGUGCAGGAGGGGCAGGCGGAAUUCCUGGUGUAGCGGUGAAAUGCGUAGAUAUCAGGAGGAACACCGGUGACGAAGGCGGCCUGCUGGACUGCGACUGACGUUGAGGCCCGAAAGCGUGGGGAGCAAACAGGAUUAGAUACCCCCGUA
rnacentral:rRNA from 1 species